rnacentral:rRNA from 1 species
AGAGUUUGAUCAUGGCUCAGAAUCAACGCUGGCGGCGUGCCUAACACAUGCAAGUCGAACGCGAAAGGGGCUUCGGUCCUGAGUAGAGUGGCGAACGGGUGAGUAACGCGUGGGUGAUCUACCUUCGAGUGGGGGAUAACGUUCCGAAAGGAGCGCUAAUACCGCAUGACGUUCUGGGUUUAAAGACCUGGAAACCAAAGCCGGGGACCGCAAGGCCUGGCGCUUGAAGAGGAGCCCGCGUCCGAUUAGCUAGUUGGCGGGGUAAUGGCCCACCAAGGCGACGAUCGGUAGCCGGCCUGAGAGGGCGGACGGCCACGACUGGAACUGAGACACGGUCCAGACUCCUACGGGAGGCAGCAGUGGGGAAUUGUUCACAAUGGGCGCAAGCCUGAUGACGCAACGCCGCGUGGGGGAUGAAGGUCUUCGGAUUGUAAACCCCUGUCGAACGGGACGAAGACCCGGGAGCUAAUCAUCCUGGGAGUGACGGUACCGUUAAAGGAAGCCACGGCUAACUCUGUGCCAG